rnacentral:tRNA from 1 species
GCCCUAGUAGCUUAAUUUAUAAAGCGCCGGUCUUGUAAUCCGGAGACCGAAGGUUAAAAUCCAUCCUAGUGCC